UCUGCUAGCUAGCGAUCCAGACUACACACGCUCAAAGCAUCUUUUAUUCGUUUUACCAAGUAAAAAAAGAAAGGUCCAUCGGAAUCGGUUUAAAUAUGGGUCCUACAGAAAUUGUGGAUUUAUCUAGUGAUGAUGAAAGUGAAAAAGGUGGUUUCAAACCUGUUAAGUUGGAGGCAGAUUUUAUUAUGGAUUCAGAGCAACAUAAUGAGACUCACAAAGGUCAACUAGCCAAGCGGAAGAGAUCUCGAAGUCAUGCUACUGGACCAGAUUCUGAAGAAAAUAUAAGUUCUACUGGUCCAAGUACAGGUCAUAGUAACUCCAGUGUGUUGGAGCAGGGAUUGUCGCCAAUUGAUGACACGGGCAUUUCAUACGCCUCACCCAUAUGUGCAGCACCCAUUUGUAGGCAGUUUUGGAAAGCUGGAAACUAUGAUGACAGGCUUGGUUCUAAAGUCACAGUCCAAAAUGCUAAAAACUAUCUACAUGUACACCCCAUGUUCCUUCACUCAAAUGCCACAUCACAUAAGUGGGCAUUUGGUGCCGUAGCUGAGCUUCUGGAUAAUGCAGUUGAUGAGGAUAGAUCCAAAAUGGGGCUACAUUUGUCAUUGUAGAUAAAACUUCAAAUCCAAGGGAUGGAAGUCCAGCAUUGUUGAUUCAAGAUGAUGGUGGUGGAAUGGAUCCAGAGGCAAUGCGUCGUUGCAUGAGUUUUGGAUUUUCAGAUAAGAAGUCACAGUUUGCUAUUGGACGGUAUGGAAAUGGCUUCAAAACCAGUAGUAUGAGGCUUGGUGCAGAUGUCAUAGUGUUCAGUCGCCAUUUGAAUAAUCGGUAUGGGUCAACAUUUGAAUAUAUGACUGGGUACUGAAGUUGGUUAAAGCAAUGAGUCUCCUGCUGUAUUGACAAUCACUGUUUUAUCCUCUUAGGUGUGAUUAUUAAAUUAUAUUCUGAAGGCCAUAUCCACUCAAACGUAUUUAUUUUGUUAAUGUUAAUUUGGAACUUAAUUUUUACAUUGAUUUUCUGAUAGGAAUAACUGAAUAACUUCCCAUUUCUUUUUAAUAGCCUUGGAGAAAUGUGAUAGAACCAAUGUUAUCAAUGGUGGAUGGCGGGUCAUGAUGAAAACCCAGAAAAUUACCAUAAAGCUGAUACCUUUUUAUACAUUAUAGUUUCUAGCAACUGUUGCUCCCUUUAUUCACAUGACAGUAAUGUAGGGAGGUUUUCUGACAAGCCAACAAUAUGUGAAGUUAUUGGGGAAAAGUGAAAUUGUUAUUCUUUUUUGUGUUCCUUACUUUUGUAUCUUGAUCAGGAUUUUGACUCAAAGUAUUGGACUUCUGUCAUAUACGUAUUUGACACGAACACAUCUUGACAGAAUAGUAGUGCCCAUGGUAAGUGGCGUCUCUCUUUUUUAACUACAUGAAAGUUUUAUGGUUUAAAUGCUACUUCUCCGGAUAUUGUCACCCAACUUUGUGCAGUGACUUCAAUUGCUACUUUUCUUCUCUGCUAAUUUGAUUCCAUAAAACUUGAAAUUCUUACUGGUAUGGUGGUUCUAGAGAAUUGAUAAUAGGCAAUUAUCAUGUGAUUAGUUUUCCUUCUCUUUUGAUUGGCAGUAGAUUUCUGCAUUUCUUUUUGUUAAUUUUUAUAUUAUCAACAUAUCAAUGUUGUGCUAGAUAUCUUAGCAUAUCUUCAUGACAUGGUAUUAAACCCUUGAAGACCAAGUGGUUAAGAAUUUGAUCCUUGAUGCCCUCAUUCUUCUAAAUGAAGUUGAAUUUUAGCACAAUAAGAUGGUGGGCCUGGUGGAUUGCUCAUGGCUUCAUGCUUCUAGCCCAAAUAUGUGAGGCAGCAUGUUAGAUAUAUGAACCAUUAUGAGCCUUCACUUAACAGCUUAAGCUUUUGGAAGAGUUGCUCCUUGACAUUUGACAAUGAUGAUUCAAUACACCGUUUAUACUCUCCAUCUCCUGAUAACUUUUCUGAAGUGAAGGUUCUAGUAGUUUCAAUUUAACUAAUCUUUUGAAUUUCAGGUGAAUUAUGAGUUUAAUACAUCAACUGAAUCAUUGGAAAUAUUAAAUGGCAAUGAGCAUUUUGUGGCUAAUUUAUCCUUGUUGUUGACUUGGUCACCAUAUACAUCGGAAGCAGAUCUUCUGAAACAAUUUGAGGAUAUUGGACCUCACGGUACUAAAGUUAUUAUAUAUAAUUUGUGGUGCAAUGAUGAUGGGAAUUUGGAAUUAGACUUUGAUACAGAUCCUCAGGAUAUUCGUAUUGCGGGGGAUAUCACAAAGAUUGAUUCAAAACAGGGCUGGAAGAAAGUCAAUGAGGAGCACAUUGCUAAUCGGUUUCGUUACUCUUUACAUGUUUAUUUGUCCAUAUUGUACUUGCGUGUACCAGAAAAUUUUCAAAUUAUAUUGCGAGGGCAAGUUGUGAAACCACACAAUAUUGCUGAUGAUCUUAAGUAUCCUGAAUAUAUUUUGUAUAAACCACAAGCUGGCAGAUCUGUAGAGGCAACAGUUGUGACAACAAUUGGAUUUCUUAAGGAAGCUCCUCAUGUCAAUAUCCAUGGUUUCAACCUAUAUCACAAAAAUCGGCUUAUACUGCCAUUUUGGCAGGUUGUAAACUAUUUGGACAGUAGGGGUAGAGGAGUUGUUGGUAUCCUGCAAGCAGAUUUUGUUGAGCCAACUCAUAACAAACAAGAUUUUGAGAGAACUUCCCUGUUUCAAAAACUUGAAGGGCGAUUGAAGGAAAUGACAUGGGAAUACUGGGAUUGCCGUUGUACAUUAAUCGGAUAUCAAGAAAAGAAGAAGCUUCCUGGUCCAUUUACCCCACUGCAUCCAUCACUCCCGAUACCCCCUGGCAUAGAAAAACCAGUCAUACUGAACAAAAGUUCAUCCCCUGUUGACAAUAGAAAAGUAGUAUAUGUAAAUUCUGAACCCUCAGCAAACCGGCAAAUAAGAUCUGAGCAUGGUUCUCAUAGUAAGAGGAAGACACAUGAACUGGUAGACCUUCAGAAUAUGAAAAAACAUGCAAGGGAAGAGAAUGUAACUGGUGUUUGUUUCAGUCAGAAUAAACAAACCAUUGCAAAUCAGGCAGACCAAGUGGUAGACCGAGAGACUACAAACUUGAUGCAAGAAAACAAGAAACUGCAUGCAAAGUGUUCAGAAUUUGAAAAGACAGAAGAACAACUUAAGGUCAAGGUGAUGAAUCUUAGAAGUAAAAUACAAGAAACUCAACGCGAGUAUAAUCGGCUUUUGGCUGAAUUGAGGUCCCUAGACGUGGACGUGAAAAACGAGUAGCUGUGUAGCUGUAACUCUUGCUCAAUUCUUUCGUUUGUAGAAACGAUGUUGUAUGUAUAGCUUAAUCACUUGCAGUCUGCGGCUUACCAGGAUAAAGGAUCAUAAGGUCGAAGUCCAAGGUUUUCAUUUAUCCUAUAUUUAUAUGGAAGUGAGCCACAGCUGAGAUAUUCCUUUUGUACAUGUAAAAUUCUGUGAAUUAUGAGCUAUAAGAAAUUCAUCAUUUGUUG